rnacentral:rRNA from 1 species
GAUCCUGGCUCAGGAUGAACGCUGGCGGCGUGCUUAACACAUGCAAGUCGAACGAAGCACUUUAUUACAAUUUCUUCGGAAUGACGAUUUAGUGACUGAGUGGCGGACGGGUGAGUAACGCGUGGGUAACCUGCCUUAUACAGGGGGAUAACAGUUAGAAAUGACUGCUAAUACCGCAUAAGCGCACAGGAUUGCAUGAUCUGGUGUGAAAAACUCCGGUGGUAUAAGAUGGACCCGCG